rnacentral:lncRNA from 1 species
ACCGAGAAAGAGUAAUUGGAAAGAAUAAGAUUUAUAGUUUAUAAAUUUUUCGGCAAGAAACUCACCCGAAACUAAUGAAAAAUCCACCCAAGACUAACUGACCCUCCCCACCGGCGAAAUAACUCACCAAAAACCGCUAGAACCACCUCAAAAUCAGUUUAUUACGAUGACCCUCUUUGCCAUAAAAUGGCCAAAAUCUGCAAGAUCUCACUCCACCCACGCUGCCAUCCACCAUGUGGAGGGUGAACCAACUAUCAAACCAGAUCUGACUGACAAACCCAUUUAAAUGCUGCUGUCGGCCACUCUAUCAUCACCACCAUUCCCCUCUUCCCUUUCCCGUCGUCGAAAAUCCGCUUAAAAUCUGGCCAUGGCCACUGCUGGCAAACUAGUAAAGCUAGCAGCCCUGUUACGCUGCUAUUUCGACGGCGUAUUUUUUGCCGGAAAAUGGUGAAUCUCCACCGGAGAACUCAUGCACACGGAGAGGAUAAUAAAAAAGU